CAGGAAGCAAAAGCACUAGAUGAGAGGGAGUUGGUGCUGAGGGCUUGGGAAGAUGUGAAAACUGAGGUACACUGUGAGGACUGCCAGACAGGGCUCUACCUGGGGUUCCCGGCAGCCCGCGUCUCAGAUAAGCACAAUGGCAAAGGGCCUACGUGAGAAGAAGGAACAAAUGACCAGGGCCUCUGCUCAACCCUGCUCCAUGCCUGAAUCACAGGAAGAGACUGCCAGACAAACGAGGCAGAAGAGAGCUUCAGCCUUUACCCCUCCGACCGUGAUCACACACAGACAGCUGUACUAGGCAGAGCUGGCUGCACCAGCGCCAUUGUUUGGACCAUUUGUACUUUUCCUUUUGAGAAUCAUUUAUUAUAUCCCCCGCCAGUUUUUCUUGUUGCACUAUGUGUCCUUUGUGAUCUGUAGGAGCUCUUUUGUAUGCCACGAUUUUCCAUUGUUGGCUCUUUACACGCUGCAAAGGGUUGUAUGCAGUUUCCUUCUGGGAGGUUGCUUGUAUUCUGAGUGUUUUGUGAUAUAUAGAGCUUUCCACUUUCACAAAGUCAAAUCUAUCAGUGUGACAGAGUGAGGGGCAGGCAGGGGCCCCAGGUGCUCCCAGCACUCCAUCUCUAGAUCCAGCUGCUGCUUAUGAGGGUGUGUGCACUUUGAGUGUGCCCACUUUUCUA